CAGCAAGCGGCUUCGGGGUCAGUUCCUGCCUCCAGGUUCCUGCCCUCGCUGCUUUCGACGACAAACUGGCAUAUGAGACUCAGGCCCAGCCCCACCUGUGUCUCAGAAACGGAAAGGUCACUGAAGAGUCCCUCUUAGUCCACCAGCUUCAUCCCCGUUAUGAAGGGCUUUUCCUAGGAGCCUAUUUAAGAAAGCGAGAUGUGUUAAGGAGAGUAAACAGGACUCUUGCAAACAAGGCGUCCGGUGACGCCAGAGCACAGCAGAGGAUUCUGGGCGUCUAGAAAACCACAGGAUGAGAAAGCAUUGUGCUGAUACUGGAGCCAGCACGAGGAGCAGCGCUCCUUCCUAAGGCCGUGCACUCUCUCCUUCAGUCAGCAAGCAGCAAGCUCUGCUUCCUCAGUAUCCCCUGGUCCUUCCCCUGUCCCGGAAGUGCCCUAUGUAAUGGGCAGAGGAAUGCCUGGAGAUGAUUACUACUCUGAGUGAGCCUAGAGGAAUGGGCCUGGCCUCCAAUUAAGACCAAGCCAAGCCCGGGAGAGGAACUAAAUGAAGACAAGGCCCUAGUGAUUAACUGGGGUCUGGGCAGCCAGGAACUGAAUGAAGCCUGCACAUGCGCCCUUACCAAGAUGGUGAGCAGCUGUGUGCUCUGAAACAAGGACCACGGAUCAAAAAGAAAAUCCUCUCCCCUGUUCUGUCUUCGUGUAUCCCUGCAGGCCAGAAGACGCACCACAUCUAAUUACAUCACGUGGUGGCUGGGAAUUGAACUUAGGACCCCUGGAAGACUAGCUAGUGUUUUUAACUACUGAGCUCUCUCUCCAACCCCGCAAAGGACCCUUUAAAAGAAAGACCUGUACCCACUCACCCUCUCUUUGCUGCUCCUCUCUCUUCCGUUUCUCUUUCUCGCUGUUCCCCUGGGGCAGACAGGACUUUUCCUGUCUCCCUCCUCUUUUCUGUGCUCUCUCUGUCCAUCUCUUUACCUCUUUUCUCUUUCCUUCCCCCUUCCCUCUGCUUUCUAAUAAAACUUCUCACUAAGCUCUGUCUGCCUGUCGUGUUUGUCCCCCUCCUCGGUCACCCUAGAUAGCCAUGGAAUCCACCAAGGUCCCCCAUG